UGCCCGUUGCCCGGGGACAACCGGUGGAAACGCCGACUAAUCCCCGAUGGGAUACGAUGCUUCAUGGCAUUGUAUUGAAAGUUACGGCGGCGACGGAUUGGCUCGCGUCCGAUUAGCUGGUUGGCGGGGUAACGGCCCACCAAGGCUACGAUCGGUAGGGGUUCUGAGAGGAAGGCCCCCCACAAUGGGACUGAGACACGGCCCAUACUCCUACGGGAGGCAGCAGUGAGGAAUAUUGGUCAAUGGGCGGAAGCCUGAACCAGCCAUGCCGCGUGCGGGAAGGAGGCCCUAUGGGCUGUGAACCGCUUUUGCCUGGGGGCAAUAAGGGCGUCGCGCACGUCCGAUGAGAGUACCAGGCGAAUAAGCAUCGGCUAACUCCGUGCCAGCAGCCGCGGUAAUACGGGGGAUGCGAGCGUUAUCCGGAUUCAUUGGGUUUAAAGGGUGCGUAGGCUGUGCGUCAAGUCGGGGGUGAAAUUCCGGUGCUCAACACCGGGGCUGCCCUUGAUACUGUCGCGCUGGAGUGCGGAUGCCGCCGGAGGAAUGAGUGGUGUAGCGGUGAAAUGCUUAGAUAUCACUCAGAACACCGAUUGCGAAGGCAUCUGGCGAAUCCGUAACUGACGCUGAGGCACGAAAGCGUGGGGAUAGAACAGGAUUAGAUACCCUGGUAUUCCACGCCGUAAACGAAGAGGGCUAACCGCCGGCGACACACUGUCGGUGGCCAAG
rnacentral:rRNA from 1 species